AUUGAACGCUGGCGGCAGGCUUAACACAUGCAAGUCGAGCGGAGAGAGGUAGCUUGCUACUGAUCUUAGCGGCGGACGGGUGAGUAAUGCUUAGGAAUCUGCCUAUUAGUGGGGGACAACAUUUCGAAAGGAAUGCUAAUACCGCAUACGUCCUACGGGAGAAAGCAGGGGAUCUUCGGACCUUGCGCUAAUAGAUGAGCCUAAGUCGGAUUAGCUAGUUGGUGGGGUAAAGGCCUACCAAGGCGACGAUCUGUAGCGGGUCUGAGAGGAUGAUCCGCCACACUGGGACUGAGACACGGCCCAGACUCCUACGGGAGGCAGCAGUGGGGAAUAUUGGACAAUGGGCGCAAGCCUGAUCCAGCCAUGCCGCGUGUGAAGAAGGCCUUAUGGUUGUAAAGCACUUUAAGCGAGGAGGAGGCUACUUUAGAUAAUACCUAGAGAUAGUGGACGUUACUCGCAGAAUAAGCACCGGCUAACUCUGUGCCAGCAGCCGCCGUAACAC
rnacentral:rRNA from 1 species